GUUUUGAUUUCUGAUUGCAGGGAGUAUCUUUUUCCCAUGGCUGACAUUGUAACUCCAAAUUUAAAAGAAGCAUCUGCUUUACUUGGUGGUGUUCAAUUGGAAACAGUCGACGACAUGCGUUCUGCUGCAAAAUCUAUCCAUGACAUGGGUCCACGAAAUGUACUUGUCAAAGGAGGUGACCUCGCUUCUUCAUUGGAUGCUGUUGAUAUUUUCUUUGAUGGAGAUAAUUUUUAUGAGCUG